rnacentral:tRNA from 2 species
CCCGACUUAGCUCAGUCUGGCUAGAGCGGCUGACUGUAGAUCAGCAGGUCCCCGGUUCAAAUCCGGGAGUCGGGACCA